rnacentral:rRNA from 1 species
CCAUGCAUGUCUCAGUACACGUCUAAAUUAAGACUAAACCGCGAAUGGCUCAUUAAAUCAGUUAUGGUUUAUUGGAUUGUACAAAAAUUUACUUGGAUAACUUUGGUAAUUCUAGAGCUAAUACAUGCAACUGAGUUCCGACCAGAGAUGGAAGGAACGCUUUUAUUAGAUCAAAACCAAUCGGUGGCGGGCGGUUUUCCGUUCGUUUAUCGUUUGCUAUGAUGACUCUGAAUAACCUUUUGAUGAUCGCACGGUCUUCUAGCACCGGCGACGAAUCUUUCAAAUGUCUGACUUAUCAACUGUCGAUGGUAGGUUCUGCGCCUACCAUUGUUGUAACGGGUAACGGGGAAUCAGGGUUCGAUUCCGGAGAGGGAGCCUGAGAAACGGCUACCACAUCCAAGGAAGGCAGCAGGCGCGCAAAUUACCCACUCCCGGCACGGGGAGGUAGUGACGAAAAAUAACGAUACGGGACUCAUCCGAGGCCCCGUAAUCGGAAUGAGAACACAUUAAAUCCUUUAACGAGGACCAAUUGGAGGGCAAGUCUGGUGCCAGCAGCCGCGGUAAUUCCAGCUCCAAUAGCGUAUAUUAAAGUUGUUGCGGUUAAAAAGCUCGUAGUUGAAUCUGUGUGUCACAGUGUCGGUUCACCGCUCGCGGUGUUUAACUGGCAUUAUGUGGUACGUCCUACCGGCGGGCUUAGCUCUACGGGGCGGUCCAACUAAUAUCCAUCGCGGUGCUCUUUACUGAGUGUCGAGGUGGGCCGGUACGUUUACUUUGAAGAAAUUAGAGUGUUCAAAGCAGGCUCGUUUGCCUGAAUACUGUGUGCAUGGAAUAAUGGAAUAGGACCUCGGUUCUAUUUUGUUGGUUUUCGGAACCCCGAGGUAAUGAUUAAUAGGGACAGAUGGGGGCAUUCGUAUUGCGACGUUAGAGGUGAAAUUCUUGGAUCGUCGCAAGACGUACAGAAGCGAAAGCAUUUGCCAAAAAUGUUUUCAUUAAUCAAGAACGAAAGUUAGAGGGUU